UCAUUGAAAUAUGUGGGAGAGAACGGAGAGGUAGAGGGGACAAAGGACACGGGAAGGCAGGAUGCUGUUGGGCAUUGUCCUUGGCAGAGGACGCGCAGCUUCUUUUCGCGCACUUUAUAGCGGCUUACGACACCAACGUAAGCUCCUUACGUAAUGCUUUGGAGUUACAUAUGCGUAUGUACAUACAUAUUUCUGCAGGAUAACAACAGAUUUCAUCAUAUAGUGUGUAAUGAAAUAUUUCAACCAGUCCAUCAACUAUUGCUUAGUGACAUCACAACUGAUAUGGGAAAUUUUGAUAAUCGAAAACACAAACAGCUAAAAAGAGUCUUAAUGCACGGGACAAAUAAUAGAAAUUAACAAUUAAUAAAAAGCAAUUAGCAGCUAUAGGCGUCA